rnacentral:rRNA from 1 species
UGGGGAAUAUUGGACAAUGGGCGCAAGCCUGAUCCAGCCAUGCCGCGUGUGUGAAGAAGGCCUUUUGGUUGUAAAGCACUUUAAGCGAGGAGGAGGCUACUUGGAUUAAUACUCUAGGAUAGUGGACGUUACUCGCAGAAUAAGCACCGGCUAACUCUGUGCCAGCAGCCGCGGUAAUACAGAGGGUGCGAGCGUUAAUCGGAUUUACUGGGCGUAAAGCGUGCGUAGGCGGCUUCUUAAGUCGGAUGUGAAAUCCCUGAGCUUAACUUAGGAAUUGCAUUCAAUACUGGGAAGCUAGAGUAUGGGAGAGGAUGGUAGAAUUCCAGGUGUAGCGGUGAAAUGCGUAGAGAUCUGGAGGAAUACCGAUGGCGAAGGCAGCCAUCUGGCCUAAUACUGACGCUGAGGUACGAAACCAUGGGGAGCAAACAGG